GAGAAUGUCAUUUGUACAAAUGUACGAAUGCGUUAGUUAGAAGAGUAAAAAAGAUAUACACCAUCAUUCUCCUCUCUUCUAACCAACGCUUUCGUACAUUUGUACAAAUGCCUCGCUCCCCAUGCCUAAACUAUUUUUUAAAAUUC